rnacentral:rRNA from 1 species
CCUACGGGAGGCUGCAGUAAGGAAUAUUGGUCAAUGGACGCAAGUCUGAACCAGCCAUGCCGCGUGGAGGAUGAAGGCCCUCUGGGUUGUAAACUUCUUUUCUCUGGGACGAAACCCCCGAUUUCCAUCGGGCCUGACGGUACCAGAGGAAUAAGCACCGGCUAACUCCGUGCCAGCAGCCGCGGUAAUACGGAGGGUGCAAGCGUUAUCCGGAUUCACUGGGUUUAAAGGGUGCGUAGGUGGGCAAGUAAGUCAGUGGUGAAAUCUCUGGGCUUAACCCGGAAACUGCCAUUGAUACUAUUUGUCUUGAAUUCUCUGGAGGUAAGCGGAAUAUGUCAUGUAGCGGUGAAAUGCUUAGAUAUGACAUAGAACACCCAUUGCGAAGGCAGCUUACUACGGAGACAUUGACACUGAGGCACGAAAGCGUGGGGAUCAAACAG